rnacentral:misc_RNA from 1 species
GGUGACCGUAUAACCGACCGAGUACCGAGGGAAUGCUGGCCAACCGUUGCUUCUUGUCCAGAUGAAGGGGAGCGAAAUUAAAAUAAAGGCCCUUCCGCCAGCCGAUGGAGAACAUGAAGAUAAUCGCGGCCUCCUCGGGGAUGGAUAGCUUCUUCUUAUCAGAGGUGUAAAGUUCCAUGGCCUCGACAUCAACGAUGUCGUCGUCCAUGACUCCCUCGCCGGCAUCGAUCGCCCGGUUGACGCGGACCAGUGGUGUGAAGAUGAGUUCGUUGAUAUAUAGCGUAGCCUGAUUCUUGCGGUCCAGGAUGAGGAGGAAUUGUUCUAUCUGGGCGGGUCGAAGCGUA